AGCAGUGUGGCUCAGUGGAAAAAGCAUGGGCUUUGAAGUCUGAGUUCAUGGGUUUGAAUCCCUGCUCUGCCA
rnacentral:tRNA from 1 species